rfam:Gloeophyllum trabeum ATCC 11539 unplaced genomic scaffold GLOTRscaffold_00002, whole genome shotgun sequence.
GGCCUUGUAGUGUAGCGGUCCUAUCACUCCGGAUUCUGAAUCAGGUUGCGUAACGAAGUUACGUGACAGACCCGAAAUUCCGGCAACCCAGGUUCGAGUCCUGGCAAGGCCU